rnacentral:rRNA from 1 species
AACGAACGCUGGCGGCGUGCUUAACACAUGCAAGUCGAACGAAGUGGCGAACGGGUGAGUAACGCGUAAUCAACCUGCCCUUAAGAGGGGGACAACAGUUGGAAACGACUGCUAAUACCGCAUACUGAAGGAGGGGAUUGCGUCUGAGUAGCUAGUUGGAGGGGUAACGGACCACCAAGGCGAUGAUCAGUAGCCGUUCUGAGAGGAUGAACGGCUACAGUGGGACUGGGAGACGGCCCAGACUCCUACGGGAGGCAGCAGUGGGGAAUCUUCCGCAAUGGACGAAAGUCUGACGGAGCAACGCCGCGUGAGUGAUGACGGCCUUCGGGUUGUAAAGCUUUGUUAAUCGGGACGCGGUACCGGAAUAGAAAGCCACGGCUAACUAAGUGCCAGCAGCCGCGGUAAUUC